AUGUCUCGCCGCUACGACAGCCGCACCACGAUCUUCUCGCCGGAGGGCCGGCUGUACCAGGUGGAGUACGCGAUGGAGGCGAUCGGGAACGCCGGGUCGGCGCUCGGGAUCCUGGCGGCGGACGGCGUCGUCCUCGUCGGCGAGAAGAAGGUCACCUCCAAGCUGCUCCAGUCCUCCCGAUCCGCGGAGAAGAUGUACAAGAUCGACUCCCACCUCGCCUGCGCCGUCGCCGGGAUCAUGUCCGACGCCAACAUCCUCAUCAACACCGCCCGCCUCCACGCCCAGCGCUACGCGCUCUCCUACCAGGAGCCCAUCCCCGUCGAGCAGCUCGUCCAGUCCCUCUGCGACACCAAGCAGGGCUACACCCAGUUCGGGGGCCUCCGCCCCUUCGGCGUCUCCUUCCUCUUCGCGGGGUGGGACAAGAACCACGGCUUCCAGCUCUACAUGAGCGACCCCUCGGGCAACUACGGCGGCUGGAAGGCCGCCGCCGUCGGGGCCAACAGCCAGGCCGCCCAGUCCAUGCUCAAGCAGGACUACAAGGACGGCAUGACCCGCGAGGAGGCCGUCGCCCUUGCCCUCAAGGUCCUCAGCAAGACCAUGGAUUCCACUAGUUUGACUGCCGAUAAGCUGGAGCUGGCCGAGGUCUUCGUGCAGCCCGGCACUGGGGAGGUGCAGUACCAGGUGUGCUCUCCUGAUGCCAUGGGGAAGCUGCUUGCCAAGGCUGGGCUUACGCAGCCUGCGCCUGAGGCCUGA
rnacentral:rRNA from 1 species